UGGGGAAUAUUGCACAAUGGGCGCAAGCCUGAUGCAGCCAUGCCGCGUGUAUGAAGAAGGCCUUCGGGUUGUAAAGUACUUUCAGUCGGGAGGAAGGUGGUAAGGUUAAUAACCUUAUCAAUUGACGUUACCGACAGAAGAAGCACCGGCUAACUCCGUGCCGGCAGCCGCGGUAAUACGGAGGGUGCAAGCGUUAAUCGGAAUUACUGGGCGUAAAGCGCACGCAGGCGGUUGAUUGAGUCAGAUGUGAAAUCCCCGGGCUUAACCCGGGAAUUGCAUCUGAUACUGGUCAGCUAGAGUCUUGUAGAGGGGGGUAGAAUUCCAUGUGUAGCGGUGAAAUGCGUAGAGAUGUGGAGGAAUACCGGUGGCGAAGGCGGCCCCCUGGACAAAGACUGACGCUCAGGUGCGAAAGCGUGGGGAGCAAACAGG
rnacentral:rRNA from 1 species